CAGGGUGUGGCGCAGGGUGCCUGAGCAGGGAAGCAGGCUGGGAGAUGGGAGAGGUGAUCUCAGGAAUCAAAAUAAGUACUUCAAGGCAAAACUUUAAACAAAAUCAAUGUAGAAAACCCACAAUGAGCUAAAUAACAAAAUUUUAAGGACAGGAUCCAACAGGGCUGGGUUAAGGGGAGUGGAGCGAGGUGGGUAGGAUCCUGUCUUUGGUUAAUUCUGGUAUUUACUUCAUCGUGGGACUUUUUCGCAUUAAUUUUGAUUUUUAGCGACACUGUAAUAGGGUGGCAUUAUCUUGAUUACUGUGGGCUUUGUGCCCCUUUCAUUCUGUGCCCAAUGGAGUGAGGGGCUGGCUGCCUCUGGCCUGGCUUCCCCUUCGUGAGAGCUCAUCUCCUUCUCACAGAGGCGAGCAGAGAGGCAGAGCACAGGGAACCUGCCCCAGGCGACAGACACAGUGGGCAGGUUCCCAAGUCUAGGUUUCAGAUCUCCCCUUCUCAGUGAGGGGCUGUUCCUCCAGCCAAGCGUCAGAAUUCAGUGGCCACUAGCUGCUGGUGGCUGGCGAACACUUGAAAUGUGACCAGCAUGAAUGAGGAACAGGGUGGGUCAUUGUUCAAAAUGUCACCUCACUUAAAUUCCAACAGCUGCCGGUGCUGAACGGCCACGUGGAACAGCACCGCUCUGGAGAUCCCACCAGGCCCGGGGUCUUGGAGGUGCACCCGCUCCCAUGCCCUCUACUAGCGGGCUCCAGAAGCAGAGAAGCCAAGGGCUGGGCCUCUGCCAGGCUCUCUCCCCCGGCUGGGUGACAUGGGCAAGUUCCUUCACUGCUUGAAUCUCAGUGUGAUCCCCACCCAUAAACCAGAGGUGACCAAAUCCCUGUAGAGCAGCCACAGGGACCCAGAGGGACAGUGGCUGCGUGAAGCACAGCACAAGUCCUGGCAGGGAACAAGCACUCAGGCUACUGAGGCUGUGUCACGGAUGCCUGCCUCAAUUCCCCGGGGUUUGGGGAGCGUCAUGGGGACUGAGGGAAUGACGCACAGGGUGCUCCAACAGCACUCGGCACGGGUGCACCACUCGUCGUUCUAAAUGUUUUUAGUCAUUAUUUCAAGAAUCUCGUCGUGGCUGUGUACUGUAGCCUCAGACCCUGGGAACGGUGGUGGUCUCAGCUUGUCAGAGCCCAGGUGCAGAGGACCGUGCUGUGUCAUUCCUCCUGGCCCUUCUCCACCCCAUCACCCUCUCCCACAGGCCAGGCCCCGCGGCGCCCAGCGGGCAUGCUCCCAUCCCCGGCCCACUACGUCGCUCACCCACCUGCACUCUCCUCCAUGCCCUGUGAACCCCAGAGUUCCCGGACGUCCUCAUGCCUGCCUCCCUUGAACCCACCAACAUGGCCACUGACUGACUGAAGCGUCAGAAAGGAAGAGCAUGUCCCUCGCCUCCACAGAGCUCCCUGCCCACUGCUCUGACCACACCCAGACCGACUUCUGUGACCGUGUCCCCCAAUUCUGACCUUAGAGGCCUCUUCACACAUGGAGCCUGCCAGGCCCCUCCCGGGCUUACGCUUUCCCACGAGUCCCCACGGUCCACUGUGAAGUCCCCUGGGCAUCAGUCCCCAGUCCCCCAGUGCUCUGCAGGAAUCUGCUGCCUCCCCCGGAACUCCCUUCCGCCCACUUUCCAACGAGGGGCCUGCUAAGACCCUCUCCCCUCCACACUCAAAACCAGGCAGAAGGGCAGGGCCCAGGCCCCGGCACUGAGCCAUGAGCACUCUGAUCUCUGAGGCCAGCUGCCCCACCUGCACAGACCUCUGCUACACUGAUGUGCUACGUGCCCAAGGAACAGGGUCCACUUCCACCCGAGGCCAGUGUCACGCUCGCCCAGCCAUGUCUUCAGGUUGUUAAUCACUUUCCCCCCUUUUUGGUACUGGGGAUGGAGCCAGGGCCCCUCCCGUGCUAGGCAAGCGCUCCACCACUGAGCCCCAACCCAGCCCUUACAACUCCCUUUAUAAAUUUUGUUGAGACAGGGUCUCACUAAGUUGCCCAGGCUGGCAGCGAACUUGUGAUCCUCCUGCCUGGGCUUCCUGAGUCACUGGGAUUACAGCCACCGUAUCUGCUCCAUUCUUAAUCGGCUACAUUUCUCAUCUUUCUUAACACCAAGGGCAUGGCUCUGGAAUCCUACCGGAAGGCACACUCCUAGGGAACUUGAAACCCAUUAGCCGCGCUAGCGAUUUAAGAAAUGAUGAAAGAAAAAGAGGGAAAACAGUCCAUUUUCGAGAACUGUUAAAGAUUUUCCGAGAGAGUGGACUUCCGGAGGACUCCGCUAGGAACACACUCCAAGCUGACCACCUGUUGGAUGCGGCCCACCGACUGCAGACGUCCCCUGUGCACCCAGCGAGUGCUGAGAGGUCACUACAUGCUCACUGUCCGUGGGUGUGGCUGGAUUUCAUUAAAAUAUACUUUUUAAGUGUUUUUUAAAAGAAGGACCAGUACACAGUUAUGUCCCUCCCUUCUCCACAGGGAGCCACGGCUGGACGUGGCUGUCACUCUAACGCAGGUGCUCACACUGGCUUCCGUGCGGGACACUCCCAACACUGUGCCGCAGAGGGCGACGCUCCCGGUGUCAGAACAGCGCCUGCGUGUUCAGAGCCAUGCACUCAGCACUUGGAACUUGUUUUCCUUCAACCUCGUGUUGACUGUGACUGCCCGCUGUGUCCCUAACUGGUUGGGUAAGCAAGUAACUUCUCUCUGACCCAGAGUCCUCAUCUGUAAAAUAGGUAUCCUCAGGACGUCCACUUCAUGGGGUCACAGAGCUGGGCACAGGAUAUGCUGCUCUUCACCCUGAAGUGAUGUAACUCUGGUUCAUUCUUUUUAAACCUGUGUAAUAUUCCACACUGAACCUACAACCAGUGACCUGCCCACCAGACAGAUCUGCCCGGGACUCCUGCUAAAAGGAGCUGCCCAGGUGGCUGGGGAACCCUGCCUUGCCUCAGGCUUGGCCCUGACACAGGAUUGCCCUGUGGGCAGCAGGGGCUUCCCCCGGGCAUCACCAGGCUGCAGGGGGGUGCCAAUCCUCGCUCCCACCUGUACCCCACAUCCUUGGUACUGUCAGAGGGUUUGAUUUUUGUUGGUCUUGUGCGGAGGGAGUGACUGGGAAGCUUCUGAAUUGCCACAGAUGACUCCACUGAAGCUCAGAGAGUUUGAGGAACAUUACCACAGUCACACAGCUCAGUGCCAUGUCAGGCUUCAGGCCCAGACGUCUCCCCUGUUCUGAAUGGGUCCUCUUUCCCUCUGGGCACAGACCCCCAAGCCUCACCCCACUCCUGGUUUAGCUCAAAGACCUCCCCAAUGCCUCCCUGGAUGAGGUCUCCCCGCUCCAUGCUCCCUGGACUCUUCAGGACUGAUUCUGUCCUUACCAGUCUCCAUGUUGUGGAGUAAACUCGAGUUUUUACCUAAGCCCUGCCUUUUGCUAUUCUGACAUCUCUCUACCCCAAUCUCCUUAUCUGCAAAACGGGGCCAAGGACAGUCGUUACCUCCUAACGCUGCACCAGGAGGAAGGAAUUAAACCUGGUCGGCAUCAUGUACUCAGCACGACUGUUAUGAUGUGAUCUAACACCUAAACUUGAUCUUGCUUUUGAUCUCGGAUCCUCUUCUCUCUGCACGACCUCCUGCAGCAAUGCCUUACGACAAUAUCUCAAAUACAGGUCAUCCCACCUCCCCAGUGGCAGGUGGCAGGGACGACCACACACACAGCCAUGCACUGGCCUGGCCUCUUCUCAGUGCAGACGCUCCU